AGCGCCUUGCCCUUUCGUGCUCAUUCGUCCCCGUCUUCUCCUUCCCUCUGGAUCUCGUCGCCGACGCUCCUCCUCUCGAUUUGACUCCGGUUCUUCAGGUGCUUUCCCUCUACCCGCCGUCGCUGCUCUCCCAUCAGGCGCCGUCGGCAGUGUAGGACGCCGCUCGCCUCGGGCGAUUCGGCAGGAGGAGGAGGAGGGCCAGCGAAUCCAGGCUGGCACUCUGCUGCUUGCGUCAGCCGCUGACGACGACGCGAGGAGGGAGACCGUGGAUGGAGAUCGCGCGGGCGCGGUCCGCCGCCGCCGUGGGCUGCUCCAAGGAGCACCAGAGGAUCUGCGUCGACUGGUUCGCCCUCGCCGACCCAGGAUCUGGAGUUGCGGUGCUCGCCUCGCCUCAAGUGCGUGUGACGUCACCGGGAAGACCGUCAGCUGCAGCUCGCACAACGACUCUGCCUCGAGGCGUUGCCAUCUACUGGAGAAGCUUCAGACCGUCCUCCUAGCUUUUGUGCAUCUCUGGGAAGAAGACAACCCGAGCUGAGUCGCCUCCGAUCUGCGAAAACAUCUGAUGACAUGGACGUGAUGGGAUAUUUAAACAAGUCAAUUGCCAAGCUACAAAUGGGGCUGGCAGUGUGGCGCAACAAGCCUGAGCUUUUUGAGAGUGCAGAUAUGCAUGAGGCAGGAAAGGAAAAAGGCUUCAGUACAAUGAAGACCUGGAUGCCUCAAGGGAGGCCUGCGAGGAAUGUGCUCCAGACCGGCAAGGUGCUGCUCAACAGCGAGAAGCACCACCGGCGUCAGCAGUGUCAGCGUCACCGCCUCCUCGGCAUGCAAAAGACGUCACUCCCAAAUCGUCUCCGUAAUGCAUCCAGUAUACCGGAUGCUACUACAGCGAGAAGCACCAUCGGCGUCAGCAGUGUCAGCGUCACCGCCUCCUCGGCAUGCAGAAGACGUCACUCCCAAAUCGUCUCCGUAAUGCAUCCAGGUAUACCAGAUGCUACUACUGUUCUCCCUGCCCCUAUCUCUAUAAUUGAUUGUUCACUAGCAUGGCCCAUGGGAGCACCACGACUCAGGACAAUGUUUUAGUAGACGUAAAUGAUUGUCGGUUUAUUGAGUUAAGAUUUUUUUAUGGUGAGGUCAUGCCAUGUUGUUAGCGGGCACAAAUAUUUAGUGAGUUGUUGGUUCAGGAGAUCAACAUUUGGUUUAGUAUCUAUGAAGAGAUGAGUCUCGUGGCGGUGAGCGGAACGUAGACAAGGAUGGCGACUUGAUGCUUCUCGGAGACCUCCUCUGGAGGUGGAUUUUCUGGGCCUUUUGUUUGCCAUUUCACAGAGUUGGGCCGUGUUUGUCAGCGAUCGUGGCUUGGAUAUGGCCCGGUCGCCCCGUCGCACGCACCGGCGGGUAAAGAUCUCGUGCCACCGCACGUAAUAUCCUCCGCCCGCCGAGGGUACGUCGGUAAUUUCACGUCCAGGCCUCGUGCGUGUCGUGCGGUGGUUCGCCCCGUGCGGCUAUGGGGUGGGGAAGGGCAGCGCCUUGCCCUUUCGUGCUCAUUCAUCCCCUUCUUCUCCUUCCCUCUGGAUUCUUCUACUAGCCAACCAUGAGGAGCUCCUGGUGGUGCUCCUGGAUCUGGAUGUGCUAUACAUCACCUCCUUGCCUCUUGGAUGCUUCGGUGCAUGUGGCGUUCGUGCUCAUCGGUGGGACGGUGCAAGGUGCAACUCCGAUGCAGUGGCGUGUAUGUGCGGUGUAGGAAGCGGUUCCUCGCCGGCUGGACGGCGUCCAGGCGCAACCCCACGUCCACUGAGUAAUGCCCGGCUACAACCUCCCUCGGUGAGCCCCGUCUCCCUCCCGCUCUGCUUCGGCUACUAUAUGGGACAUGGACAGGGCUAUGAUGAUCAGUUAUGGCUUAUAUAGGCAUGCUCUCGAGCAAUUGAGGCACUUAUGGGUAUUAAUUUGGAUCCCCUCAUUUCUUUGAGCCAUUUUUUGAUCACGUUUUUAUUUUAGUGGCUCUGUCCUUGGAUGGUCAUUUCUGAUGAGUGAUAACCAGGGCAGUUUCACAUGACCCACCGGUUGGAAGCCAUUCUUGCUAGGGCGAUGAUGAUUAACCAUGGUUGAAAUAAAUGUGCCUUUGAGCAAUCGAGAAACCUGUGAGUAUCAAGUUGGAUCCUCCCUCUUGUCUCUAGAAUCCUUUUUGAUCUUGUGAUACUUAUUGUUCUCUCCUUGGAUGGUCAUUCUUGUUGAGUGAUAACCAGGACAGCUCCACUGUAUAAACAGAUUGAUCUGGUGAUAAGAGAUGACGGUGGUAGGUUAUGCAAUCGAGGAAAGGCAAAUCUGAGCCGACUAUGCAUUGAACCCUGAACCCUUUUUAUUUGUGUUUAAAGGUGUUGCUUAUUUAUUCUCCAGUGUUUAUAGCCAUCUUAUGUAAAGAUUUCUUCUCUUUGAUACCUUUAUUGCAUAUGAGUUGUUUUUCAUCUUUUAUUGUUUGUUGUUGGUCCUUGAUUUAAUCUGGUUAAGAGUAAGUUGCACUUUGUUAUUCUGGGAUGAACGAUGGUUUGGCAAUGCUAUUGGUUCUUCAUGAGUUCAGAGGAGGAUUUCUGAUAUUAUUUUAUUGUUAAAUAGACAUGACAGUAAGAUUCUUGUAUCUGUUCGCCGUGAGGAGCAAUGGAGCAUUGCACACUUAUGUGUACUGCUACCUGAUUAUCGUUGGUCUUUUGUAUAAAGGCCUUGCUAUAAUUUUGUAUGGUCCUUCCCUAAGGUGCUAUUUGGAUCAUCUGGUUUUUUAUACAGAGCCCGCUUCUCGAAGGUGCUAACCAGGCCAACAAAAAGGGCUCACCUGCUAAUAAGGUUUGAAAAUCCUCUUAGUGGUCAAUAGAGGUGUAUUCAGGCCCAAAACUUACAGAGCUGUGACAAGAAGUGUGGUCAACAUAGGUGUAUUUAACCAAACUAAUGUGAUCUUAUUUUAAAUUUUGCUCGAGAUUAAAUUUUCACAGAGAUCUAAUUAAGAUUUAUUAAAUCGCUGUUAUAUUAUAUGUUGGUUUGUUCCUUUAUACUCCAAAAGGAAAACAAUAUGAGUAAAAAAACUAUGUCAAUGAAUUGAGGUAUCAGUUUGCCUUCCUUUUAUUGCACUCAUUGGAUAAUUGUCUACUUUCAAAUUGUUGUGACCUUUGAUCCAUAUAACUAAGUGAGUGUUCUAUCUUUUCAGUUUCCCUAUCUGUUCUCAGGAUAGAAAUGUUCCUCGGCACCAUGAAAAACGUCAACGGAGGAACAACCUUUUAUUUUAUUUUAUGUUGCCUCUACUAUAUUGUUGUUGCCACAAGGAUUUACCUGGACACGGAGCCACCAUGAUGUGUUUAAAAAUGAUUACAUUAUCCUGUUCUAACCUGAUGGUGUUAGAAACAUCUUGGCAUUCAAGCAGGAUUAGUUCAUUGUUUAUUAAUUACAAUUAUGUAAAAAAAUCACUGAUCAUAGCUUGACAGAAAAUAUUUUGAUAUGCCACCA